UACAGAGGGGGCAAACGUUAUUCGGAAUUAUUGGGCGUAAAGGGCGCGUAGGCGGCUUGGCAAGUGGAUGGUGAAAUCCCUCGGCUUAACCGAGGAACUGCCGUCCAAACUGCUUAGCUUGAGACCGGGAGAGGUGAGUGGAAUUCCCAGUGUAGCGGUGAAAUGCGUAGAUAUUGGGAGGAACACCAGUGGCGAAGGCGGCUCACUGGACCGGUACUGACGCUGAGGCGCGAAAGCGUGGGGAGCAAACGGG
rnacentral:rRNA from 1 species